rnacentral:tRNA from 1 species
GCCUUCGUGGUGUAAUGGUCAGCACACUGAGCCGGUAUUUCAGAGGUCCGUGGUUCGAUCCCCAGUGAAGGCA